GGGUUGUUAGCUCAGUUGGUAGAGCAGCGGACUCUUAAUCCGUAGGUCGUAGGUUCGAUCCCUACACAACCCACCA
rnacentral:tRNA from 3 species